rnacentral:tRNA from 1 species
GGAGAGAUGGCAGAGUGGUUGAAUGCGGCGCUCUCGAAAAGCGUUAGGGUCGUAAGAUCCUCGGGGGUUCGAAUCCUCCUCUCUCCG